UGGGUUAAGUCCCGCAACGAGCGCAACCCUUAUCCUUUGUUGCCAGCGGUCCGGCCGGGAACUCAAAGGAGACUGCCAGUGAUAAACUGGAGGAAGGUGGGGAUGACGUCAAGUCAUCAUGGCCCUUACGACCAGGGCUACACACGUGCUACAAUGGCGCAUACAAAGAGAAGCGACCUCGCGAGAGCAAGCGGACCUCAUAAAGUGCGUCGUAGUCCGGAUUGGAGUCUGCAACUCGACUCCAUGAAGUCGGAAUCGCUAGUAAUCGUGGAUCAGAAUGCCACGGUGAAUACGUUCCCGGGCCUUGUACACACCGCCCGUCACACCAUGGGAGUGGGUUGCAAAAGAAGUAGGUAGCUUAACCUUCGGGAGGGCGCUUACCACUUUGUGAUUCAUGACUGGGGUGAAGUCGUAACAAGGUAACCGUAGGGGAACCUGCGGUUGGAUCACCUCCUUACCUUAAAGAAGC
rnacentral:rRNA from 1 species